CCAAAGGCUCUUUUCAGAGCCACCAUGUUGUCAUUUAAGAGUUGU
rfam:Mesocricetus auratus contig023771, whole genome shotgun sequence.